rnacentral:rRNA from 1 species
UCUACGGGGCGCAGCAGUGGGGAAUAUUGGACAAUGGGCGAAAGCCUGAUCCAGCCAUGCCGCGUGUGUGAAGAAGGCCUUCGGGUUGUAAAGCACUUUCAGUGGGGAAGAAAGCCUUGGGGCUAAUACCCUCGAGGAAGGACAUCACCCACAGAAGAAGCACCGGCUAACUCCGUGCCAGCAGCCGCGGUAAUACGGAGGGUGCGAGCGUUAAUCGGAAUUACUGGGCGUAAAGCGCGCGUAGGCGGUCUGAUAAGCCGGUUGUGAAAGCCCCGGGCUCAACCUGGGAACGGCAUCCGGAACUGUCAGGCUAGAGUGCAGGAGAGGAAGGUAGAAUUCCCGGUGUAGCGGUGAAAUGCGUAGAGAUCGGGAGGAAUACCAGUGGCGAAGGCGGCCUUCUGGACUGACACUGACGCUGAGGUGCGAAAGCGUGGGUAGCAAACAGGAUUAGAUACCCGAGUAGUC